UAUUAUUCUCCUGCUCUUGUUGUAUCGCUGCAGACAGUCCAAGUAUUCCUGCUUCACCAGGUCGAUCCAGUCUGAGAGUCACAGUCCGGGCUCCUCCACAAAUCAUGGAGUCAACCAGAAUGAAACUCAUGAAUACAACUCUCUUCAUCCUGGUCAGCACUUAAACCGAUCUUAUACACAUCGAGGGCCGUUCAGAGUUUAG